UAACAAGGAUUCCCUUAGUAACUGCGAGUGAAGUGGGAAAAGCUCAAAUUUAAAAUCUGGCAGUGUUUUGCUGUCCGAGUUGUAACCUAGAGAAGUGUUACCUUCACUGGACCGUGUAUAAGUCUCCUGGGAUGGAGCAUCAGAGAGGGUGAGAAUCCCGUGUAUGACAUGGACUACCAGUGGAUUGUGGUAGGCUCUCAAAGAGUUGAGUUGUUUGGGAAUGCAGCUCUAAAUGGGUGGUAAAUUCCAUCUAAAGCUAAAUAUUGGCGAGAGACCGAUAGCGAACAAGUACCGUGAGGGAAAGAUGAAAAGAACUUUGGAAAGAGAGUUAAACAGUAUGUGAAAUUGUUGAAAGGGAAACGUUUGAAGUCAGUCGCGUUGGUCAGGGAUCAAGUCAGCGUAAUAUUGCUGGGUGUAAUUUCUGGACAACGGGCCAACAUGAGUUUUGACUACUAGAGAAAGGCAUUGGGAAUGUGGCACCUGUGGGUGUGUUAUAGCCCAAGGUCAUAUAGAGUAGUUGGGACUGAGGAAAGCAGCGCGCCGCAAUGGCGGGGUUUCGACCACCUUCGCGCUUAGGAUGUUGGCAUAUAAUGGCUUUAAGCGACCCGUCUUGAAACACGGACCAAGGAGUCUAACAUGCUUGCGAGUGUUUGGGUGUAAAACCCUUGCGCGGAAUGAAAGUGAAAGUUUCGAUCCC
rnacentral:rRNA from 1 species